rnacentral:rRNA from 1 species
CCUCCAGAGUUUGAUCAUGGCUCAGGAUGAACGCUGGCGGCGUGCCUAAUACAUGCAAGUCGAGCGAACAGAUAAGGAGCUUGCUCCUUUGACGUUAGCGGCGGACGGGUGAGUAACACGUGGGUAACCUACCUAUAAGACUGGGAUAACUUCGGGAAACCGGAGCUAAUACCGGAUAACAUUUGGAACCGCAUGGUUCUAAAGUGAAAGAUGGUUUUGCUAUCACUUAUAGAUGGACCCGCGCCGUAUUAGCUAGUUGGUAAGGUAACGGCUUACCAAGGCAACGAUACGUAGCCGACCUGAGAGGGUGAUCGGCCACACUGGAACUGAGACACGGUCCAGACUCCUACGGGAGGCAGCAGUAGGGAAUCUUCCGCAAUGGGCGAAAGCCUGACGGAGCAACGCCGCGUGAGUGAUGAAGGGUUUCGGCUCGUAAAACUCUGUUAUUAGGGAAGAACAAAUGUGUAAGUAACUGUGCACAUCUUGACGGUACCUAAUCAGAAAGCCACGGCUAACUACGUGCCAGCAGCCGCGGUAAUACGUAGGUGGCAAGCGUUAUCCGGAAUUAUUGGGCGUAAAGCGCGCGUAGGCGGUUUCUUAAGUCUGAUGUGAAAGCCCACGGCUCAACCGUGGAGGGUCAUUGGAAACUGGGAAACUUGAGUGCAGAAGAGGAAAGUGGAAUUCCAUGUGUAGCGGUGAAAUGCGCAGAGAUAUGGAGGAACACCAGUGGCGAAGGCGACUUUCUGGUCUGUAACUGACGCUGAUGUGCGAAAGCGUGGGGAUCAAACAGGAUUAGAUACCCUGGUAGUCCACGCCGUAAACGAUGAGUGCUAAGUGUUAGGGGGUUUCCGCCCCUUAGUGCUGCAGCUAACGCAUUAAGCACUCCGCCUGGGGAGUACGACCGCAAGGUUGAAACUCAAAGGAAUUGACGGGGACCCGCACAAGCGGUGGAGCAUGUGGUUUAAUUCGAAGCAACGCGAAGAACCUUACCAAAUCUUGACAUCCUUUGAAAACUCUAGAGAUAGAGCCUUCCCCUUCGGGGGACAAAGUGACAGGUGGUGCAUGGUUGUCGUCAGCUCGUGUCGUGAGAUGUUGGGUUAAGUCCCGCAACGAGCGCAACCCUUAAGCUUAGUUGCCAUCAUUAAGUUGGGCACUCUAGGUUGACUGCCGGUGACAAACCGGAGGAAGGUGGGGAUGACGUCAAAUCAUCAUGCCCCUUAUGAUUUGGGCUACACACGUGCUACAAUGGACAAUACAAAGGGCAGCUAAACCGCGAGGUCAUGCAAAUCCCAUAAAGUUGUUCUCAGUUCGGAUUGUAGUCUGCAACUCGACUACAUGAAGCUGGAAUCGCUAGUAAUCGUAGAUCAGCAUGCUACGGUGAAUACGUUCCCGGGUCUUGUACACACCGCCCGUCACACCACGAGAGUUUGUAACACCCGAAGCCGGUGGAGUAACCAUUUAUGGAGCUAGCCGUCGAAGGUGGGACAAAUGA